rnacentral:pre_miRNA from 1 species
UUAACUCAAAUUUGUACAGAGUUGGAUCGUUUACCUACGACUGCCGCUAGGGGCGCUGUUCCAACAGCACAGAAAUUUGAGUUA